GUAGGUUCCAAUAAACAGUGUCCUGAGUUAUACGUACAGGAGGGCAGGAGCUGAGCAGGCACACACAAGUUGAGCAGGAAGAAAAAUUAUUUCAAUUUCAAUCUCUUUGCCUCAUCUGUGAUUAUGCGACUGCUGUUUGGCAUAAAGGAAGUGUCUGUGAGAUCCAGCGAGACUCAGAGAGAGCAAGUGUGUGACUGCUGACACAGUAAAGUGAAGAGCAGCACAGGACUACAGUGGGAAACAAGCUUCAGACGCACACAAGUAAAGGGAAAGGCGCGAAUUCGCCAUCUCCACAGCACAACUUUGACGCCGGCGCCCAUUUUGAAGCUGGCAACAAUUCAUCAUCAUCUGGAUAAAGCAACACUACAACUGAAGGUUUUCUCGUGACAUGAUCGACUUUUCAUUCGAAUAGAGCCUGCGGUGCCUGGCAAGGAUUUUCUGCACACAGACAGAAUGAAAGUAUGGGACUAAAAUUCUCAUGUCUGAAAGGUCUGCCAUUCUGUAACAACAAUGAGGAGAUUCCUUCAGGCAAUUCUGACAGUCAUCUGAAUGUCCCUGAUAUUAUUGUUACCCCACCCACCCCUACAGGGACAAUGACCAGCAGAGCUCCAGGGCAAGGGGCCAGUUCAAACCCUGCAGAGAAGAGUUGUUGCUAAUAAUGUCUAACUGCUAGAGAUGAACAGGAGCCAGGGACUCCUAAUUUCAAUAAACACUAGUGGGUUUUUUUUAGAGGUGCCAUGCUCAGGUCUGUUUCAAUGGGAAAGUGUGCAAGGUAAAAGAUGCAACUGUAUACUUUAUAUUAUGAACUUCUGUCUACAGUAUAUGCUUUUUGCUUUCACUCAUUCGGUGACAUUGUGAGACUUGCUCAAACUAAAUGAUCUCUGUAAGCAUAGAGUGCCUAAUUUUUGAGAACAUAUGGACAUAGUGCGGAAUAAUUUAUAACAUUUAUAAAAGUUAAUCCUUCAUGUAUAUAUUGUGUAUUGGAGACAUUUAUAUAUGAAAAACAUGUUUGAUUAUUAUGAUUCUUGAUAUAGCAGAAACAUAUUCCACUGCAGUUUGCAGUGCCUGUUACAUUGGAGCUUACAGUCUAAGGUCCUUAUCACAUUCAUGGUGAAUUUGUUGCUGUCUAUAGGUAUGACAUUCUGCCGGUGAGCUAGCUCAGAAUACACAAGGGACGGAAUGUUGUUGUCCACUCACAUGCUGGUCCUUGAGGUCUAGUAUGCAGUCAGCUUUCAGCAUAGCAAGCUGCCCUUAUUCUAUGAUCUAUUUCUGGCUGACAGCAAACCACUGAAUGGGCAUGAUGUAUGGUAUCAGAUCCUGGUCGCUAUGACACUGGGCCUUAACAACAUUCCCAACCAGUACCACACGGCAGGGGCCUUCACGUAUACCCAUGAGUCCUCACGUCUGACACGCUGCACCUGAUUGAUUGCUCCAAUGAAUGCCGCACCGCUUCCGAUCUCCUCGAGUACCGACUCUCUAUCUGACGCCCGUUUCCCUUCGGACAUCUCCAGGCUCUCUGUCAACCUUCUCCUCGGACAUUUCCAGGCUCUCUUUGAACUUUCGCGGGAUUUGGAGAAUUCUCCCCUGUAAAUUUAGACACCGAACCUCACAUGGAUUAAAAACUUGCCAGUUAUGUACAGUGGUGUGAAAAACUAUUUGCCCCCUUCCUGAUUUCUUAUUCUUUUGCAUGU